CCUACGGGUGGCAGCAGUGAGGAAUAUUGGUCAAUGGACGAGAGUCUGAACCAGCCAAGUAGCGUGAAGGAUAACUGCCCUAUGGGUUGUAAACUUCUUUUAUAUGGGAAUAAAACAGGGUAUUCAUACCCUCUGGUAUGUACAAUAUGAAUAGGAAUCGGCUAACUCCGUGCCAGCAUCCGCGUUAAUACGGCGGAGCCGAGCGUUAUCCGGAUUUAUGGGGUUUAAAGGGAGAUUAGUUGGAUUGUUAAGUCAGUUGUGAAAGUUUGCGGCUCAACCGUAAAAUUGCAGUUGAAACUGGCAGUCUUGAGUACAGUAGAGGUGGGCGGAAUUCGUGGUGUAGCGGUGAAAUGCUUAGAUAUCACGAAGAACUCCGAUUGCGAAGGCAGCUCACUGGACUGCAACUGACACUGAUGCUCGAAAGUGUGGGUAUCAAACAGGAUUAGAUACCCCUGUAGUC
rnacentral:rRNA from 1 species